ensembl:lncRNA
UUUACCUAAAUAAAAAAAAAAAAAAAAAAAAAAGAGUCCAAACUGCAUUGUCGUCAAUUUUUCUGAAAAACAAAGAGUAAAGUGUGAAGAGAGAGAAAAGUAGGAAAGAGGAAAAGAGUAAAGUGUGAGAAAAAAGCAAAGAGAGAAGAGAGGAAAAAGAAGAAAGUUUAAGGAAAGAACAAAGAGAAAAAGAACAAAGUGUGAGGAAAGAGGAAAAAGAACAAAGUGCUGCUUUACUCUUGUGUUUGAUUGUUUCAGAUGCUGAGAGAUCAAGUGGUGGACGUCCAGAGAGGAGAGGUGAGUUAGAAACAUGCACAUUGUCAGUCAUUGUAGACAGUCGACUUUGUUCUUUUACUCAUGUGUUUAUUGUGUUUGUUUAUUUCAGAUGUGAGAGAUCAAGUGGUGGACGUCCAGAGAGCAGAGAUGCUGAGAGAUCAAGUGGUGGACGUCCAGAGAGGAGAG